rnacentral:rRNA from 1 species
UACGGAGGGGGCUAGCGUUGUUCGGAAUUACUGGGCGUAAAGCGCGCGUAGGCAGACCUGCAAGUCGGGGGUGAAAGCCCGAGGCUCAACCUCGGAACUGCCUUCGAUACUGCGGGUCUCGAGUCCGGGAGAGGUGAGUGGAAUUCCUAGUGUAGAGGUGAAAUUCGUAGAUAUUAGGAAGAACACCAGUGGCGAAGGCGGCUCACUGGCCCGGUACUGACGCUGAGGAGCGAAAGUGUGGGGAGCGAACAGG